AACAGCCGCGGUAAUUCCAGCUCCAAUAGCGUAUAUUAAAGUUGUUGCAGUUAAAAAGCUCGUAGUUGAAUUUCGGGGUUAGUAGGUUGGUCAUGCCUCUGGUAUGUGCUGGUCUCACUGAUUCCUCCUUCCUGAUGAACCUUAAUGCCAUUAAUUUGGUGUUUUGGGGAAUUUGGACUGUUACUUUGAAAAAAUUAGAGUGUUUAAAGCAAGCUAACGCUUGAAUACAUUAGCAUGGAAUAAUGAAAUAGGACGUUCGAUCCUAUUUUGUUGGUUUCUAGGAUUGACGUAAUGAUUAAUAGGGAUAGUUGGGGGCAUUAGUAUUCAAUUGUCAGAGGUGAAAUUCUUGGAUUUAUUGAAGACUAACUACUGCGAAAGCAUUUGCCAAGGAUGUUUUCAUUAAUCAAGAACGAAAGUUAGGGGAUCGAAGACGAUCAGAUACCGUCGUAGUCUUAACCAUAAACUAUGCCGACUAGGGAUCGGAUGAUGUUAAUUUUUUAAUGACUC
rnacentral:rRNA from 1 species